GACGAACGCUGGCGGCGUGCUUAACACAUGCAAGUCGAACGGGCCUUGUCCCCUUUUUUUUUGGGGGUGGGGUUAGUGGCGAACGGGUGAGUAACACGUGAGUAACCUGCCCCUCACUUCUGGAUAACCGCUUGAAAGGGUGGCUAAUACGGGGUGUUCUGGCCUGCUCGCAUGGGUGGGUUUGGAAAGAUUCGACCGGUUUGGUUGUUUUGGUGGGGGAUGGGCUCGCGGCCUAUCAGCUUGUUGGUGGGGUGAUGGCCUGCCAAGGCUUUGACGGGUAGCCGGCCUGAGAGGGUGGGCGGUCACACUGGGAAUGAGACACGGCCCAGACUCCUACGGGAGGCAGCAGUGGGGAAUAUUGCACAAUGGGCGCAAGCCUGAUGCAGCGACGCCGCGUGAGGGAUGGAGGCCUUCGGGUUGUGAACCUCUUUCGCCAGUGAAGAAGGUCCUGCUCUUUGUGGUGGGGUUGACGGUAGCUGGGUUAAUGAAGCGCCGGCUAACUACGUG
rnacentral:rRNA from 1 species